AAGCAAUUGUGUAAAAGAUGAGUAAAGUUUGAUCUGAUUUUUAGAGAGCUAUGGCUUGGUGUGACAUAGUAACAGACAAACUUGAAGAUGGUCUUUGGGUCACAUUAUUACUGAGUAUUUAACAAAGUAAUAACGGCUGCCUCCGUUAGCAGGCCCGAGUAUCGGCCUUGGCCCGCACUCAGUGAGGAUCAAUUCGCAAGAAUUGGUCAAAUUAAGGUGGUAACACGAAGUUUAAAGCUUUCGUCCUUGCA
rnacentral:ncRNA from 1 species